rnacentral:rRNA from 1 species
GACGAACGCUGGCGGCGUGCCUAAUACAUGCAAGUCGAGCGCAGGAAGUCGACGGAACCCUUCGGGGGGAAGUCGACGGAAUGAGCGGCGGACGGGUGAGUAACACGUAAAGAACCUGCCCUCAGGUCUGGGAUAACCACGAGAAAUCGGGGCUAAUACCGGAUGGGUCAUCGGACCGCAUGGCCCGAGGAUGAAAGGCGCUCCGGCGUCGCCUGGGGAUGGCUUUGCGGUGCAUUAGCUAGUUGGUGGGGUAAUGGCCCACCAAGGCGACGAUGCAGAGCCGAACUGAGAGGGGUAUCGGCCACACUGGGACUGGGACACGGCCCAGACUCCUACGGGAGGCAGCAGUAGGGAAUCUGCCACAAUGGACGAACGGCUGAUGGGGCAACGCCGCGUGAACGAUGAAGGCCUGCGGGUCGUAAAGUUCUGUUGUAAGGGAAGAACAAGUGCCGCAGGCAAUGGCGGCACCUUGACGGUACCUUGCGAGAAAGCCACGGCUAACUACGUGCCAGCCGCCGCAGUAAUAC